rnacentral:rRNA from 1 species
GGCUCAGGAUGAACGCUAGCGGCAGGCCUAACACAUGCAAGUCGAACGGUAACAUGAGUAGCAAUACUUGACGACGAGUGGCGCACGGGUGCGUAACGCGUAUGCAACUUACCUCUAACUGGGGAAUAGCCUUCCGAAAGGAAGAAUAAUACCCCAUAAUAUUUCGAUGUGGCAUCACAUUGUUCUUAAAGCUUCGGCGGUUAGAGAUGGGCAUGCGUCUGAUUAGCUUGUUGGUGAGGUAAUGGCUCACCAAGGCAACGAUCAGUAGGGGGCCUGAGAGGGUUAUCCCCCACACUGGUACUGAGACACGGACCAGACUCCUACGGGAGGCAGCAGUGAGGAAUAUUGGUCAAUGGACGAAAGUCUGAACCAGCCAUGCCGCGUGCAGGAUGAAUGCCCUAUGGGUUGUAAACUGCUUUUAUAUAGGAAUAAACCCCCUCUCGUGAGAGGGGCUGAAGGUACUAUAAGAAUAAGGACCGGCUAACUCCGUG